rnacentral:tRNA from 1 species
GAGGAUAUAGCUCAGUGGUAGAGUACAUGCUUAGCAUGCAUGAGGUCCUGGGUUCAAUCCCCAGUACCUCCA